rnacentral:rRNA from 1 species
AGAGUUUGAUCCUGGCUCAGGACGAACGCUGGCGGCGUGCCUAAUACAUGCAAGUCGAGCGAGCUUGCCUAGAUGAUUUUAGUGCUUGCACUAAAUGAAACUAGAUACAAGCGAGCGGCGGACGGGUGAGUAACACGUGGGUAACCUGCCCAAGAGACUGGGAUAACACCUGGAAACAGAUGCUAAUACCGGAUAACAACACUAGACGCAUGUCUAGAGUUUGAAAGAUGGUUCUGCUAUCACUCUUGGAUGGACCUGCGGUGCAUUAGCUAGUUGGUAAGGUAACGGCUUACCAAGGCAAUGAUGCAUAGCCGAGUUGAGAGACUGAUCGGCCACAUUGGGACUGAGACACGGCCCAAACUCCUACGGGAGGCAGCAGUAGGGAAUCUUCCACAAUGGACGAAAGUCUGAUGGAGUAACGCCGCGUGAGUGAAGAAGGGUUUCGGCUCGUAAAGCUCUGUUGGUAGUGAAGAAAGAUAGAGGUAGUAACUGGCCUUUAUUUGACGGUAAUUACUUAGAAAGUCACGGCUAACUACGUGCCAGCAGCCGCGGUAAUACGUAGGUGGCAAGCGUUGUCCGGAUUUAUUGGGCGUAAAGCGAGUGCAGGCGGUUCAAUAAGUCUGAUGUGAAAGCCUUCGGCUCAACCGGAGAAUUGCAUCAGAAACUGUUGAACUUGAGUGCAGAAGAGGAGAGUGGAACUCCAUGUGUAGCGGUGGAAUGCGUAGAUAUAUGGAAGAACACCAGUGGCGAAGGCGGCUCUCUGGUCUGCAACUGACGCUGAGGCUCGAAAGCAUGGGUAGCGAACAGGAUUAGAUACCCUGGUAGUCCAUGCCGUAAACGAUGAGUGCUAAGUGUUGGGAGGUUUCCGCCUCUCAGUGCUGCAGCUAACGCAUUAAGCACUCCGCCUGGGGAGUA